rnacentral:rRNA from 1 species
UACGUAGGCAGCGAGCGUUGUUCGGAAUUACUGGGCGUAAAGAGUGUGUAGGCGGUGCUCCCAGUCUGUUGUGAAAUCUCCCGGCUUAACUGGGAGGGUGCAGCGGAACUAGAGUGCUAGAGGGUGGGAGAGGUAAGCGGAAUUCCUGGUGUAGCGGUGAAAUGCGUAGAUAUCAGGAGGAACACCUGUGGUGUAGACAGCU